rnacentral:rRNA from 1 species
AACGAACGCUGGCGGCAGGCUUAACACAUGCAAGUCGAGCGCCCCGCAAGGGGAGCGGCAGACGGGUGAGUAACGCGUGGGAACGUACCUUUUGGUUCGGAACAACUCCGGGAAACUGGAGCUAAUACCGGAUAAGCCCUAACGGGGAAAGAUUUAUCGCCGAAAGAUCGGCCCGCGUCUGAUUAGCUAGUUGGUGAGGUAACGGCUCACCAAGGCGACGAUCAGUAGCUGGUCUGAGAGGAUGAUCAGCCACACUGGGACUGAGACACGGCCCAGACUCCUACGGGAGGCAGCAGUGGGGAAUAUUGGACAAUGGGCGCAAGCCUGAUCCAGCCAUGCCGCGUGAGUGAUGAAGGCCUUAGGGUUGUAAAGCUCUUUUGUCCGGGAAGAUAAUGACUGUACCGGAAGAAUAAACCCCGGCUAACUUCGU